rnacentral:tRNA from 1 species
GAGAGAGAAACUUAAUGGUUAAGUGUUAAUCUGUCGCAUUAAAAAGUGCGGGUUCAAAUCCCGUCUCUCUCG